ACAUACAUUUACAGAAGAAGUUGGAAGUUCCGCGGUUUUUCGGGUUCUUCGUUAAAGUUGCUAGUUUCUCUCUACUUUUCGGUUUUGUGGUGCUUUAAAGAAAUGAUAUUUCACGUGGAAUUCUUGGCUUUGCGACUGUGUCUAGAAGAAAAUGCAAUUUGAUUUAUAAUUAAAAAGUAGAAAGGGAGGAUACUGAGGAACGUCGCAAAAUAGCUUUGUUGAGAAAAUUAAGUUUUAAUAUCUUAGGCCACUAGAGGGGCAGCGAUAUUCAAAGACUUUGAUUGUAUUGUUUGUCAAAUGAAAUUUAUACCCCACUACAGAAUUAGCAUUUCUUGUUUUUAACCAGUUCACCGAAUCUUUAACGCUAUCUUAUGGAAACAUUUUGAACAUUAUAGUCAUUGUGAAAUGUAGUCAUUAGAAAUGUAUUAUGAAAUGGAAAAUCACUAAAAACGAACAUUCCUCUUUUUCCCCUCUUACUUUUCCAUUCAGAAGGGAAGAAAUUAAUCAACCAUCCGGCUUAAUUGCUUUCCAUGCUUAAUAAACGAAUAAUUCAAAAGUAAUAAUUAUUUUAACGCGCAUGUUUAAUGGCUUGGAAAAAGUUUGGAAUCUGUACCGUUCAAGUUUUGUUUUCCUUUGACAUUGAAAUAGCUUGAAUUUUGAUUCUACGUUCAAAAAAGAGAUAUCGACGGUAUAUUUGCAGUUCAGUGGCUUGCUUAAUCUAUUUGCAACGGAUGACAUACUGUUAUUAUGGCAGCGUCAAUUAUAAGAAGAAUGAAUAUUCAUUGGGUUCAUGUUGGGACUUAAAACAGGCAAAGGCUGUAAAUAAAGUAACUGGUAAACAUUCGUUUUUAUAGAUUAUGUUAUUUUCUUUUACAAAAAUUACUUCACCAAAGAUCAUCUGAAAAUCGAUGUAUACUGUAUACGGAUAACAAUAUUCCUUUUUAUACAAUAUGUUACAGCAAUAAAAAUUCAUCCUUCCAUUUGAACUUUCCAGGAGUUUCUUUUUUAACUCGUAAGAAAAAUGAUCCUUUAUUGAAAACAUCUUUUUGGAUGAUUCUGUGAUGACGAUAUAACGUAUGUACUAUAAAUUAUAAAGCCAAUUUUACCAGAUGCAAAUAUA